rnacentral:rRNA from 1 species
AGCAGCCGCGGUAAUUCCAGCUCCAAUAGCGUAUAUUAAAGUUGUUGCAGUUAAAAAGCUCGUAGUUGAAUUUCGGGACCAAUCUGCCGGUCGUGCCUCCGGUACGCACUGGUUUUAUUGGUUUCUCCCUUCUGACGAACCAUGAUGUCAUUAAUUUGGUGUCAUGGGGAAUCAGGACUGUUACUUUGAAAAAAUUGAGUGUUUAUAGCAGGCUCACGCUUGAAUACAUUAGCAUGGAAUAAUGAAAUAGGACGUUUGACCCUAUUUUGUUGGUUUCUAGGAUCGACGUAAUGAUUAAUAGGGAUAGUUGGGGGCAUUAGUAUUCAAUUGUCAGAGGUGAAAUUCUUGGAUUUAUUGAAGACUAACUACUGCGAAAGCAUUUGCCAAGGAUGUUUUCAUUAAUCAAGAACGAAAGUUAGGGGAUCGAAGACGAUCAGAUACCGUCGUAGUCUUAACCAUAAACUAUGCCGACUAGGGAUCGGAUGAUGUUAAUUUUUAAUGACUCAUUCGGCGCCUUAAC